UACGGGGGGGGUAAGCGUUGUUCGGAAUUACUGGGCGUAAAGGGCUCGUAGGCGGCCAACUAAGUCAGACGUGAAAUCCCUCAGCUUAACUGGGGAACUGCGUCUGAUACUGGAUGGCUUGGAUUCGGGAGAGGAAUGCGGAAUUCCAGGUGUAGCGGUGAAAUGCGUAGAUAUCUGGAGGAACACCGGUGGCGAAGGCGGCAUCCUGGACUGGUCCUGACACUCAGGAGCGAAAGCGUGGGGAGCGAACAGG
rnacentral:rRNA from 1 species